AGGCGGGCAUUGGGCAAGCACUCAGAAGCAUUUCGUUUGCCUUGAUCCUGGAGGCGCGCGGCCGUCUCCCGCUGCCGAGGAUUUGACGCGAACUCCUGGCAGAUCAGAAAUGUUCAGGCGAACGGCGGUUAUAUUUGUCCGUGGACCCAAUUAAGACUUCGUUGACGGGCAAAUAUGGAACGCUGCAACAAGGACUGGUGUGGAUAGCGUGCUGCGCUGGUCUCGCCAACUGAAAAGAAUUCUGCUAAGACGCAUGCUUGGUUACAAAAGUCUCACGCAAUCGCUUUUCACAUUAAAUUUGGUCGCAAGUGUGCUGUAAAUGCCGACUGCACAAUAUGUGACUGGCCCGCGGCCGCUUUGAAGUUUGUGCGCUGUGGAGCUUGAAGCACUUCUCAGAAUUUCAGCACACUCGCAUUUAUUUCUUUCCCGACAGAAGAACAAUGCAAGUCUCACAUCUCGAUGAGGGUGGCGAUUUACCGUCUCAUAUCUCGACGGUAAAACGUCGCAUCUGCGUACGUGUUCAGGGCCAAGAGCACGAGAACUGGCCGAAAGAAGGGAGCCGAUCCAACAAGAAUGCCGUCCGUUUUAUAUAUAUGUCAGCGCUAUCACGCAGCGAUCACAUGGACUGUACGGUUGCGUUGCACAAGGGCUGAUGCAAACGCUCCGUGCGAACAAUGGUGCAUGUAAAAUUAGUGCAUCUAUACAAUUGCAAAAUAAACAUCUAAAGAG